rnacentral:rRNA from 1 species
CCUGAGAAACCCGAAAGAUCGAAUGAGGAGAUUCAUCGUCAGCUAGGUCGACUUCCAUGCGUUAUGCGAUGGACGGGUCUUCGGAUUCGAUUCACGCUUUCGCUGUGGUAUGCGUUCGGCCAGGUCGGCGUGCACUUCUCCUCUAGUAGAACGUCGCGACCCGCUGGGUGUCGGUUUAAGGGCCGAGAUCGUUGACUGUACCGUCGCUUCGGCGUUACGUGUGCAGACGCUUGGUUCCCUGAUCGACUGCUCGGCGGUAACACUAAAGGUAUCGAGCCGCACUCGAAUGCGUUCAGACUCGUUGCAAGUUCGAUCAUUUCCCGGAUGUACGGACUUAAUGCCGUCCCUGGGCAUGAUUGGCUGUUGGUUAACGAUGUUCUCGAACCGGCUUACACUUGCUGUAUCAGCGAUACCGGUCAGCGACGCUAUUGCUUUGGGUACUUUCAGGACCCGUCUUGAAACACGGACCAAGGAGUCUAACAUGUGCGCGAGUCAUUGGGANUAUUGAAACCUAAAGGCGCAUUGAAAGAGAAGAUCGGCCUCGCGUCGAUUGAGGGAGGAUGAGCUAACGUUACGAUGUUGCUCCGCACUCCCGGGGCGUCUCGUGGUCAUUGCGACCUGAGGCGCACCCAGAGCGUACACGUUGGGACCCGAAAGAUGGUGAACUAUGCCUGGUCAGGAUGAAGUCAGGGGAAACCCUGAUGGAGGUCCGUAUCGAUUCUGACGUGCAAAUCGAUCGUCGGAACUGGGUAUAG